UACGGAGGGUGCAAGCGUUGUCCGGAUUUAUUGGGUUUAAAGGGUGCGUAGGCGGCCCGAUAAGUCAGUGGUGAAAGCCUCCGAGCUCAACUGGAGAACUGCCAUUGAUACUGUCGGGCUUGAGUACAGACGAGGUUGGCGGAAUUGAUUGUGUAGCGGUGAAAUGCAUAGAUACAAUCAAGAACACCGAUUGCGUAGGCAGCUAACUAGGCGUAACUGACGCUGAGGCACGAAAGCGUGGGGAGCGAACAGG
rnacentral:rRNA from 1 species